rnacentral:rRNA from 1 species
AGUGGCGAACGGGUGAGUAAUGCAUCGGAACGUGCCCAGUCGUGGGGGAUAACGCAGCGAAAGCUGUGCUAAUACCGCAUACGAUCUAUGGAUGAAAGCGGGGGACCGUAAGGCCUCGCGCGAUUGGAGCGGCCGAUGUCAGAUUAGCUAGUUGGUGGGGUAAAGGCCCACCAAGGCGACGAUCUGUAGCUGGUCUGAGAGGACGACCAGCCACACUGGGACUGAGACACGGCCCAGACUCCUACGGGAGGCAGCAGUGGGGAAUUUUGGACAAUGGGCGCAAGCCUGAUCCAGCAAUGCCGCGUGCAGGAAGAAGGCCUUCGGGUUGUAAACUGCUUUUGUACGGAACGAAACGGUCUGGGUUAAUACCUCGGGCUAAUGACGGUACCGUAAGAAUAAGCACCGGCUAA